UCAACAAAGUGCCUUAUUAUUACUCUGC
rnacentral:piRNA from 1 species